GAUCAACGCUGGCGGCGUGCCUAAUGCAUGCAAGUCGAGCGGGGUGAUCUUCGGAUCACUUACGCGGCGGACGGGUGCGGAACACGUGGGCAACCUGCCCCGGGGUGGGGGAUAGCCGAGGGAAACUUCGGGUAAUUCCGCAUACGGUCGGCUCCUGGUGGGGAGCUGAGGAAAGGGUCUUCGGACCCGCCCUGGGAGGGGCCUGCGGCCGAUUAGCUAGACGGUGGGGUAACGGCCUACCGUGGCGACGAUCGGUAGCUGGUCUGAGAGGACGGCCAGCCACACGGGGACUGAGACACGGCCCCGACUCCUACGGGAGGCAGCAGCAAGGAAUCUUCCGCAAUGGGCGAAAGCCUGACGGAGCAACGCCGCGUGUGGGAUGACGCCUUUCGGGGUGUAAACCACUUUUCUCAGGGAAGAAGCACUGACGGUACCUGAGGAAGAAGGACCGGCUAACUACGUGCCAGCAGCCGCAGUAAAAC
rnacentral:rRNA from 1 species